GGCGAGAGACAGAUAGCGAACAAGUACCGUGAGGGAAAGAUGAAAAGAACUUUGAAAAGAGAGUUAAACAGUACGUGAAAUUGUUGAAAGGAAACGAUUGAAGCCAGUCGUACCUAUGGGUAAUCAGCCUUUUGGGUGUGAUUUUGUGGAGCGUGAGGAGUUAAACGCCUUCAUGCCUGCAUAUUCGUGCACUUUGGGUGUACUUGCCCGUGUGUAAGUUAACAUCAAUUUUGGUGGUCAUAAAAUGG
rnacentral:rRNA from 1 species